rnacentral:rRNA from 1 species
AGCGAACGCUGGCGGCAUGCUUAACACAUGCCAGUCGCACGGGCAGCAAUGUCAGUGGCGGACGGGUGAGUAACGCGUAGGAACGUGUCCUGAGGUGGGGGACAACCCCGGGAAACUGGGGCUAAUACCGCAUAUGGGCUGAGGCCCAAAGCCGAGAGGCGCCUUUGGAGCGGCCUGCGUCCGAUUAGGUAGUUGGUGGGGUAAAGGCCUACCAAGCCUGCGAUCGGUAGCUGGUCUGAGAGGACGACCAGCCACACUGGGACUGAGACACGGCCCAGACUCCUACGGGAGGCAGCAGUGGGGAAUAUUGGUCAAUGGGCGAAAGCCUGAUCCAGCAAUGCCGCGUGGGUGAAGAAGGUCUUCGGAUCGUAAAGCCCUUUCGACGGGGACGAUGAUGACGGUACCCGUAGAAGAAGCCCCGGCUAACUUCGUG